AUCCACAGCCAUGCCACCCUGAACGUGCCCAAUCUCGUCUGAUCUCGGAAGCUAAGCAGGUGUGGGCCUGGUUAGUACUUGGAUGGGAGACCACCUAGGAAUACUAGUUGCUGUAGGUG
rnacentral:rRNA from 1 species